AACAGCCUGGGAUGUGCGACACCCUACUAUUUUGAACCUACAUUUACUUUAAACGGGAUUCCAACAUUUUCAAUUGGAUGCCAGGCCUCAGUAAUUCGCUACGGCGGCGGAGGAAGGCAAAAGCUUGAUUGAGGUUACCCACCUAGCGUUGGCUAGGAGUCAAAAUUGUAGGAAACGGCAUUUUGGGUAUUAC
rfam:Roseburia inulinivorans CAG:15 genomic scaffold, scf273